rnacentral:ncRNA from 1 species
AUAAUAGUUCUACCGGGAACUUGUCAUUUAGGCAAUUAUUAACUUAUCAUUAGGUCGUUGAAGAUAAGUUAAUAAUUGCUUUUUAUUU